rnacentral:rRNA from 1 species
UACGGAGGGUGCGAGCGUUGUCCGGAAUCAUUGGGCGUAAAGGGCGCGUAGGCGGCCUUCUAAGUCGAACGUGAAAUCCCUGGGCUCAACCCAGGAACUGCGUCCGAUACUGGAAGGCUUGAAUCCGGGAGAGGGAUGCGGAAUUCCAGGUGUAGCGGUGAAAUGCGUAGAUAUCUGGAGGAAUACCGGUGGCGAAGGCGGCAUCCUGGACCGGCAUUGACGCUGAGGAGCGAAAGCUAGGGGAGCAAACGGG